UUGAUUGGAGUAAGUUUUUUUAUGCUAGGAAUUUGAAUUGCUCGGUUCGGAAUUGGAUAUGUCGAGAUUGAGAAAUUUGGUGGUUUUUGUAGCUCUUGAUUGGAUUUUCUCGUGUUUUUAACAUAUUAUUUGGAAUGCAUCAUGCAUGUCAAGUAUCAUUCUUUAGAAACAACUAUGUUCCAUGUGUUUAUAACAUCCAACCCAUCCGACCAGUUCGCCCCACCAUGAAGUUCCGCUAGUGAAAAAAUCAUGGCAACCAAAUCAUCUGGUCCAUGACACGAUUGGCCUGAUUCAUGCGCUAGCCGCUAGGUGAUCUUCUUUCAUGGUGGGGCAAACUUGUUGGACAGGUUAGAUGUCAUACAUACAUGACACGUCUGAUUUUAGCUCAAUACAAUUUGAUAAAUUUCCAAAAUAAAAUGUAUGUGGUGUAGUGAAAACGAUCUUACCAAUAUUGCCUAGGUUCAAUUGGUCCUUCUUGCUUUUCAGCCUUCUUAACCAAAUGAUCUGGUAUAGGUUGACCAUUAACUGAGACACAGGGUUUUCCACUCUCUAAUGCUUGAUCAGGUCUACCAAAAUCUUUGAUGCUCUUCUUGAUGAGGCCGGCAAAGAAUGAUUCACCACCCUUGCUAAACCUAGGCCGAAUUUCUUCAUUGCUAACCUCUUCAGAAUCUUGAGAUAUACUAGAAUUUGUGAACUCAUUGAGCGAACAGUCUAUCUCGGUUGCUACAAAUGCAUCUUUAACAGUGCUCUGUCCGGAAAUGGCCUUUUUAGGAGAUAUCUUCUCCUUAUCAUAGCGUUGGCUCCUACUUCCCUUCCCCAACCUGCUCAAAAAUGGAUUUGUAGGAGAGUAUUCAAAGGUCUCCCAAAGCAGAGAUCCUGGAACUAACGAAGCCUUCUCCACCUUCAAUGAUAGAUCUAUGGAGUUGGGCACAUCUCUUGGAGUAACCAUGCUGUCAGGGAUUUCCUCAUCCUCGGAGGAACUGAAUGACGAAGAAAGCUCUUGAAUUUUUUCAGACUCGCCUAACUUCAGCAAGCAAUGCAUUUGAAUGAUUGAAUUACCCCCUCUUUCUGAAAAAAAAUGUCAGCACAUUCAAAUGAAGAGGAAAUUCAUCUGGUGGCCCCACCAUGGCUGGUAUGCUUGUCAGGAUGAACAUGUACAUUGGAUGUGGAUUGCUCUUUGAUUCAAUCUAACCAUCCAUUUCCAUGGUACACUUGUGGCCCACUUGGUGAGCAGUCUGGCCUAAUUUCUGGGCCAGGGCAAGUUCAGGGUAGGCGGCCUGACAAACGGCCCAGAUUCUGCAUGCAUCUGAAACUAACAAAAGUAGUACUUUGUGUAUGUGGAGUUAGGUGAGGAUUUGCAAUGGGAAGCCGGUGACGAUCGUCACUUCCCACGAGGGGUUUUACCCAGCUGGAAAACAGCUUCUUCUGAGCCAUUCAUUGGUAGGUUUGCUGCAGCAUAUUAGCCAGGCCUUUGACAGUGUUCAGUGAAAACAUUAUCACACAUCCUGGUUUUGUCGAUAUAUUUCCAACCUCACGAAUUUCGAAACACAUGCAACAUCUUCUUAAAGCCCAUUUAUCGCAUCAUGUCUAGUGCAUCAAAGGAACCACUAAGAUCAAGAGAUGGUAAAAGAAAAGGGAUUCCAUGUGACAACAGACCUGUGUACUUUAUCCUCGAUACUGAAUGGGCAUCAGAUGCUGAGUUCUUGGAAUAUUUUGGGAUUUCUUUACAAGUCAGGAAACAAUCAUACGUAUCAGGAAAUUCAGUUCCACGUGCAAACCUUGGUGUCCUUGAUAAGCUUAUCACAGCUCAUCAUAAGCUUGCAGAGAUAAUGGGGUAUAAAUCUUCCGCUCAAUUUGUAGUUCAUCGUGGCAUCAUCACCAGAGGUUGUGAUGCCCUCUUUGCUUGAUUUGGGCAAGAUUGUUAAGCGUAAGGCUGAUGAGAAGCCUACAAUUGGACAUUUUCAUGCAGUGAAGUGUAUUUUUCAAUAUGUAGCGGGUACUCUUGAUGAUUUUGUACCUUGCUGGGUGCAAAUAUUAUUUCUUGGUGUACUAAGAAGCAACUUACAGCAGCUCGGUUUACUGCAGAAGCAGAGUAUCAGUCCAUGGCCUCCAGAACAGCAGAAAUCACAUGGCUGAGUUUUAUUCUUCGAGAUAUUAGGGUGUACUUUACUCUCCACCUAUUUUAUUUUGUGCUCGAUAUAUAACUGUAAAUCUAGUCUUCCAUGCUUGUAUGAAACAUAUAGAACUGGACUAUCAUUUUGUUCAUCAGCAUGUAGCCUUGGGUCUUUUGGU